UACGUAGGGGGCAAGCGUUGUCCGGAAUUAUUGGGCGUAAAGCGCGCGCAGGCGGCUUUGUAAGUCUGGUGUUUAAACCCGAAGCUCAACUUCGGGUCGCAUUGGAAACUGCAAGGCUUGAGUGCAGAAGAGGAAAGUGGAAUUCCACGUGUAGCGGUGAAAUGCGUAGAGAUGUGGAGGAACACCAGUGGCGAAGGCGACUUCCUGGGCUGUAACUGACGCUGAGGCGCGAAAGCUAGGGGAGCAAACAGG
rnacentral:rRNA from 1 species